rnacentral:rRNA from 1 species
GGGGAAUAUUGGACAAUGGGCGCAAGCCUGAUCCAGCCAUGCCGCGUGGAUGAUGAAGGCCCUAGGGUUGUAAAGUCCUUUUAACGGGGAAGAUAAUGACGGUACCCGUAGAAUAAGCCCCGGCUAACUUCGUGCCAGCAGCCGCGGUAAUACGAAGGGGGCUAGCGUUGCUCGGAAUUACUGGGCGUAAAGCGCACGUAGGCGGACCGAUAAGUCGGGGGUGAAAUCCUGGAGCUCAACUCCAGAACUGCCUUCGAAACUGCCGGUCUUGAGUUCGGGAGAGGUGAGUGGAACUGCGAGUGUAGAGGUGAAAUUCGUAGAUAUGCGCAAGAACACCAGUGGCGAAGGCGGCUCACUGACCCGAUACUGACGCUGAGGUGCGAAAGCGUGGGGAGCAAACA